GUAACUGAAAUUACAACCACUUGAGAGGUUCUUCAAAAUAAUAAUCACAAAUUCAAUAAUAGACUUGACGAUAGUAAUUGUAAUUUGACGAUAGCGAUUGUAAUUUUUUUUAGCAUGCUUACUACAAAGCUAAGCAAACUGAUUACUACUAAUUUGGUAUUGCAUUGCCCAGUUGGGGAAGGGAUUUGCUAAACUGCUCAGAGAUGCUCAGGCAGCUCGUUCGAUUCUAGAUCAUGUUGAAGAGCUAGAUUUGAAUUCAGAUUAUCUAUCUGAAGUGUGUUCUCUGAGUCACUGAGUAAUUCCACUACCCAAGCUAGAUACCUUCUAAGAGCACCCUACGCACCUCACAUGUCUACCGCGAAACACAGUGAUUUAUGCACACUGUGCGGUGAUAUGUCCAGGAAUGGAGAUGGAUUUAUCUGUCAGGGUGAAAUGAGGGGCCACAUAUAAACCACAUAUUAAUAACAUAAGGCCACAUAACUCAGCUCUUGGUUUUUUAGAGCAUGUUCAAAAUCUGACAGCCAGUGUGAGUUAUCUUAUUCCAUGUCUAUGAAUUUUGGAAUAAAACCGAAAAAUAAAAAUAAAAUAAAAUAAAAAUGGAAAUCAGGCCUGGGGUUUGUUGUAAAAGUCUCCCCACCUUCUGAGAAAGGCCAACCCUUAAUCUCUGCAGACUAGGACUUUUGACUUCCCUGUUGCAGGUCCGUGUCAUCCGAACUAUGUCUGCUCGUCACUUUGCAUGUGUGCAGAGGCCGCUCUCAAGCUUUACCUUCUUCCUGGGUGGCUCCCCAGGCUGCCUGUCAGAUUGGACUAAUGGCUGAAUUUGAGACAUUUUUUUCCACCCCAGGAUGUUGUGUGGGCAUGUAGCUUGCUCAUUCAAACAGGCCAGUGACUUUUCUUCCAGGUACUAAAUAAAAUCCUUUGAUUAAAGCCCAUGUUCUGGACCUGCCGGUCAACAUGAAGUUUCCUUUAGCUUAAAUAACUGUCCACAGACUUUCUCUGACUGCAGAACCAUCCUCAGGGGUCAAGCUGCUUGAUGGGUUUCCAUGGUGUGUUGAGUAAACUGUCAAAUGGCAGAAUAUUUUUUAGGAUGUAUGUGUCCAAACUCUUUACGCUUGUUAUACAUUUUAUUAUGAUGUAUAUUUAAGAAAAAAUAUGUCUAAUAUAAAGACUAUGCACUACCUAGCAGAGAUUGUGAAGCAGUCUUUUGAAAUAAGAUAUUCAAAUAAAACUGUGUCUUGUCGUCUCCUUGGACAUCUUUAGACUCUUAGCUCCACCCAAAGGAAUCCCAAAAUCCUGUACUUGAUUUACGCAUCUAAUCCAGGUACCUUUGCCUUCAUUCACUACCCACGGAAGAAACAAAGGACCACUCCUAUCCACUGGUUACAGUUUUUCCUUUUUUAUUUCUCUGUCGUGCAUGCUAGGCAAGCAGUACACCCCCAGUUCACCCCGAGUCUAUGUAAAGUCACACCUCCCAGGCUCAAGAUGGAGCCAUGCUUGCUACAGCUCUCUAGGCCUCCGUGCACGCCAGCUUAGUCACAUGAUCUCAUCUAUUGAGAGCGAUGAAAGUACUGCAGCUGAGCAGGGCACCUGGUGAUGGGUCUUCCCGAAGGAUGCAGCAGAUGGCACCAACUUUGCAUUCACUUUUCCCAGUGGGAGCAGGCUUCUCUGCUUCACAGCGACCUCCAGCCUUAAUCACAAUCUGAUGUUUUUCAAAUGGCAAUGUCUACUGCGACUUUGAAAGAUAUUCUCUCUGACAUCCAAUUUAACAAUUAACAAGGUUUUUUUUGUUUUGUUUUGUUUUGUUUUGUUCUUUAUUGUUUUUUAUCCCCUCCAUGGGGUUUAGCUCCUGCUGGGAUGUUUCAGAGGCAGGGGCAGUUUGCCAAGCAUUAACUUGGCUGGCCCAGGGGGCAUUACUGUACAGCUGAUUUCAUAUGAGUGAACAGCAUUCCUUUGGUCUUAUUUGCAGACUGUCAUUUGGGGCCGAGAGUUAGUUAACCAUUUGUGGUUCUGACUUCUAUGGCUAGUAGGAAACUCAGCAUGGAAAAGAACAACAAAACCAAGUAUUUCUUGUAGAUUCAGUGCAGCAGGGGAUGACAAACUAUUUUUUUUUCCUGUAAAGAAGCAGAUGCUAAAUAUUUUAGGUCAUGUGAUUUCUGUUGCAACAAUUCAACUUUCUCCAUUGUGCUGUGAAAAUAUUCACAGAUAUGGAUUAAUGGAUAAGGCCAUGUUUCAAUAAAGCUUUAUUUAUC
rnacentral:lncRNA from 1 species